GACGAACGCUGGCGGCGUGCCUAAUACAUGCAAGUCGAGCGGAUGACGAGAGAAGCUUGCUUCUCUCUGAUUUAGCGGCGGACGGGUGAGUAACACGUGGGUAACCUACCUUAUAGAUUGGGAUAACUCCGGGAAACCGGGGCUAAUACCGAAUAAUACUUUUAAACACAUGUUUGAUUGUUGAAAGGCGGUUUCGGCUGUCACUAUAAGAUGGACCCGCGGCGCAUUAGCUAGUUGGUGAGGUAACGGCUCACCAAGGCAACGAUGCGUAGCCGACCUGAGAGGGUGAUCGGCCACACUGGGACUGAGACACGGCCCAGACUCCUACGGGAGGCAG
rnacentral:rRNA from 1 species